GUCCUUUUUAUGGACAUAUUGUCACCAUAGACUUACCUCACUUUAAUCUCUCCGAUUACUCAAAACUGAUCUGUUGUUAGAUCCAAAUCUUUCUCUUUUUUUCUAAAAGGAUUGCUUAAUGUCACAAUUUUCCUGUGAUACUUUUAUGACUCACUCCAUGUCAUGUGUUGACAGAUGGAGAUGUUUAUUACCUCUUGAUAGGUAUUGAUGAUUUUGAAUUGAUCAAAAUAUUAUUUGUCCUUUUUAUGGACAUUUAAUCAUAAUGGGCUUUCCCUGACUUUGUGAUUAUUGAAAAAUGAUCUGUUUUAAGAUCACAAUGUUUAUCCUUUUACUGUAAAAGGUUUCUUUAAUGUCACACUGUCACAGUUUUCCAGUGACAAUGUUAUUGUUUAAGAUGUAAUUUAAUUCUCAGAGGUUUCUAAGAACAAUGUGACCUGUUGUAAGGUCAGUUUUUACUAAUUUUUGUCUUUUGUUGACUAAGUAAAAAUGUGUUGAACAAUUUCGGGGAUAAAAGAAAAAAACUGAGAACUGUGUCCUCAAAUAUUGUAAAUGGUUUGUCUUUUAUGAAGUCAGUUGUUCCUUUACUCUCUCGGAGUACAGUGUGUCUUGUAGAAAUCUACAAGUUGUUGUUGUGAUGUAUCAUCACCUCUAGUUGGAGCUUUCAUACUUUGUGGCUCAUUGUUCCUUGUUGAAUAAACAAAUACUGACACCUGAAAA